GAUGAACGCUGGCGGCGUGCCUAAUACAUGCAAGUCGAGCGAACGGACGAGAAGCUUGCUUCUCUGAUGUUAGCGGCGGACGGGUGAGUAACACGUGGAUAACCUACCUAUAAGACUGGGAUAACUUCGGGAAACCGUAGCUAAUACCGGAUAAUAUUUUGAACCGCAUGGUUCAAAAGUGAAAGACGGUCUUGCUGUCACUUAUAGAUGGAUCCGCGCUGCAUUAGCUAGUUGGUAAGGUAACGGCUUACCAAGGCAACGAUGCAUAGCCGACCUGAGAGGGUGAUCGGCCACACUGGAACUAAGACACGGUCCAGACUCCUACGGGAGGCAGCAGUAGGGAAUCUUCCGCAAUGGGCGAAAGCCUGACGGAGCAACGCCGCGUGAGUGAUGAAGGUCUUCGGAUCGUAAAACUCUGUUAUUAGGGAAGAACAUAUGUGUAAGUAACUGUGCACAUCUUGACGGUACCUAAUCAGAAAGCCACGGCUAACUACGUG
rnacentral:rRNA from 1 species